UGGAUUCCCGAAGAUCCCCACCGCUACGCUCGGUCGCGCGGGCCGCGCUCGCUCUGGUGCUCGCGGAUCAGGCUCGGCGAGCUGCUCUUCCACGCCCCCACCCCUCCAGUGUUUCUCCCCGCCGAGGCGGCGUUGGGAUGCCGCGGCGCCAGCGGCUGGCGAUGAGGGCGCGAGGGAGCUCCAGAAGAGGCAGGCCAAGAGGCGUGUUGAGGAGGGCGUGGGACCAGCGUCCGUUGCCGCUGACGGCUCCAUGGUGCUGGUGGUGAACGGAGGAGUGCGGAUGGCGGCGAGCACGAAGAGGGAACGGCCGGUGAUGCGACCGAGGAGUAGGAGGUGAACAGGCGGACGGAGGAGUUCAUCUCCGUGUAACAGCACCGUCUGAGGGUCGACUCCUUCGCCCUUGUCGCCGUCAGGAAGCAGGCGAGGCAGGGCCGUCGCUAGCUAGCACUGUUGAUUUAAGUUUGUAGCUUGCUCCGGGAGAUCCUCCUUGAAGCUGAACAAGUUACUCUUCAGUGCAGGUUAUUCCAUCUUGUUGAGCAUGAAUGAAUGAAUGAUUAAUCAUUUUCACAUGCUGGUGUCUCCCUGCUCACUUCUUCAGAUCAUGCAAUUUUAGAUCGCGAAGAUAAUUUCUUUGUUGAACACUAUCUAUUUACUUGGAGACUUGGAGAAAUUAGUUUAUGCAGCAGAGGGCAUUUUCCCUUCAUUGAUGGUGGCAGGCAGUGCGUAGUGCAUAUUUUGCAUGCUCGGACAUUCACCAAUUCUUGAGGAGUAGACACUUCAACUGCAUAAGGGAUCUGAGGUACUUUGGAAAGUGAAGGAAAUUAUGGCCUGAUGAACAUAGGCGGACCCAACCGCCCCUAGCUUUUGGGUGGCGGCGCAAUCUAUUUUGAUGAAAAUUUGGCCGGCCUUACAGUAUGCCCAGGCUUGAUGAAAAUCUUGGAUCCGCCACUGAUGAAGAAAUCAUCCUCUGUACCAAAUCACCAUAAGAUGGUCAGUGUGAAAUGUAAAGAGGUUCAUGAGAGGUUUUGCGAAAUUUGAAAGUUCUUGAGUACAUUUGACAUGGAUAUUACUACUGAAAGGAUCCCAUUUGAGGAGGUGGUGAGGAACUUUGCGCUGUUGAUAGAUGUACCAACCCAUGGCCAGUCAGGAGUGCAAAGCUGAAGCUUUUGCUAUCUUUUGUUCACGGAUCUACCUUGAUAGUCUUGAUUUAAAGUGAUAUUACCAGGUCUUCUGUGCGUAGUGCAAGCAGAAACUUUGCUUAUUCAUUAUUCUUGAUGAUGUUACUAUUUUGAUUUUUUUAGAGAAUUGUAUAGCUGGUAUUUUUAUACAAUUUAUUAUUGAUUCCAAAUGAAAUCUGAACUAACAUGGUUUGCACUCAAGGGAAAAAUCCUAUAUACAAAGUAAAAAUAUCACAAUGACCAUUAUUUUUCCUGAACAUGCAUCUAAUUCUAAAUGUCCAACAUUUUUAUUAGAAGAAACUGUGCGUAAAGGUUCACUUCUGCUAGUAGCUCAUUUCCUCUUCGUUUGCAGAUUAUGGGUAACUCAUUUGCAGAAGUUGUUCAAGGGCCUCGACUUCUUGAGUCAUUUUGUUCAAACAAUUUAUCAUCACCUUCAAAUCUGAAACACCGAGACAACCUUGAGAAACAGCUAAUGUUUACUGCUCUUCAUUUACUUGUUUCGCGGAAGGACGACCGAAGCCUGAAAGAUUUUGUUAUCAAGGUGUCACACACCAGAUAUCUUGGGAGUUUAUUGUGGAGGAAGACGAUGCCAAUGAUGGUUUGGAUUGGAGAUGGGCAGCGACGGGGUGAAUUAUGACCCCCUAAUCAGCAAGAUGGGGAGAUGAGAGAGGAAGAAGACAAUGCUGAAGAUGG